AUGGAAAAAGCAAGAGAGUUCCAGAAAAACAUCUAUUUCUGCUUUAUUGACAAUGCCAAAGCCUUUGACUGUGUGGAUCACAAUAAACUGUGGAAAAUUCUGAAAGAGAUGGGAAUACCAGACCACCUAACCUGCCUCUUGAGAAAUCUGUAUGCAGGUCAGGAAGCAACAGUUAGAACUGGACAUGGAACAACAGACUGGUUCCAAAGAGGAAAAGGAGUACUUCAAGGCUGUUUAUUGCCACCCUGCUUAUUUAACUUAUAUGCAGAAUACAUCAUGAGAAAUGCUGGGCUGAAAGAAGCACAAGCUGGAAUCAAGAUUGCCGGGAGAAAUAUCAAUAACCUCAGAAAUGCAAAGGACACCACCCUUAUGGCAGAAAGUGAAGAGGAGCUAAAAAGCUUCUUGAUGAAAGUGAAAGAGGAGAGUGAAAAAUUUGGCUUAAACCUCAACAUUCAGAAAACGAAGAUCAUGGCAUCCGGUCCCAUCACUUCAUGGGAAACAGAUGAGGAAACAGUGGAAACAGUGUCAGACUUUAUUUUUUGGGGCUCCAAAAUCACUGCAGAUGGUGACUGCAGCCAUGAAAUUAAAAGACGCUUACUCCUUGGAAGAAAAGUUAUGACCAAUCUACAUAGUAUAUUCAAAAGCAGAGACAUUACUUUGCCGACUAAGGUCCAUCUAGUCAAGGCUAUGUUUUUUCCAGUGGUCAUGUAUGGAUGUGAGAGUUGGACUGUGAGGAAGGCUGAGCGCCGAAGAAUUGAUGCUUUUGAACUGUGGUGUUGGAGAAGACUCUUGAGAGUCCCUUGGACUGCAAGGAGAUCCAACCAGUCCAUUCUGAAGGAGAUCAACCCUGGGAUUUCUUUGGAAGGAAUGAUGCUAAAGCUGAAACUCCAGUACUUUGGCCACUUCAUGCAAAGAGUUGACUCAUUGCAAAAGACUCUGAUGCUGGGAAGGAUUGGGGGCAGGAGAAGAAGGGGCCGACCAAGGAAGAGAUGGCUGGAUGGCAGCACUGGCUCAAUGGACAUGAGUCUGAGUGAACUCCUGGAGAUGGUGAUGGACAGGGAUGCCUGGCGUGCUGCGAUUCAUGGGGUCACAAAGAGUUGGACACGACUGAGUGACUGA
rnacentral:lncRNA from 1 species